CCGUAAAAACAUUCCAGAAAAAAACAAAAGAAAGAGAAAAAAGAAAAGAAAAAAAAAAAACUCUCCCUCUUCCCGCGCUCUUCACUCUCUUUUCCCUCUCCAUUCUUC
rnacentral:ribozyme from 12 species